UACGGGGGGGGUAAGCGUUGUUCGGAAUUACUGGGCGUAAAGGGCUCGUAGGCGGCCAACUAAGUCGGACGUGAAAUCCCUCAGCUUAACUGGGGAACUGCGUCCGAUACUGGAUGGCUUGGAUUUGGGAGAGGGAUGCGGAAUUCCAGGUGUAGCGGUGAAAUGCGUAGAUAUCAGGAGGAAUACCGGUGGCGAAAGCGACUCUCUGGGCCAUUACUGACGCUGAGGAGCGAAAGCGUGGGGAGCGAACAGG
rnacentral:rRNA from 1 species